rnacentral:rRNA from 1 species
GACGAACGCUGGCGGCGUGCUUAACACAUGCAAGUCGAGCGGUAAGGCCCUUUCGGGGGUACACGAGCGGCGAACGGGUGAGUAACACGUGGGUGACCUGCCCUCAGCUCUGGGAUAAGCCUGGGAAACCGGGUCUAAUACUGGAUAUGACUCCAUGACGCAUGUUGGUGGGGUAGGAAAGCCUUGUGCGGCUGAGGAGUCGGGCCCGCGGCCUAUCAGCUUGUUGGGUGGGGUGAGNGGCCUACCAAGGCGACGACGGGUAGCCGGCCUGAGAGGGCGACC